CUUUAUAACAGCUGUAUCUGCAGCGCCUGCAACGGUGCCUGGCAAAAUAAUGCAUUUGUGCCCUCGUGAUAUUGGUUGAAUGAAUGUCGUCCUUGUGAAAAAAGAUGCUGCUGCUAGUGUUGGCUUGAGUGUCAGGAAGGCUCCGAGUUGGUCUGCUUUCCCAGGUGGGCUCACAGCCACAAUCGACCCUCCUUCCUUCAGUGACUUUCCUUUUGGUGUCGACUACCUCAGCACGCCGGCUUGAUUGUCAUAUUGCUUCCAUUUACUUACCUUCUUUAUGUGUAUUCUUUCCUAGACUGAAAAAUCAGAUCUGUUUUUGUUCUCAUUUAUAAACCCCGGUCAGUGCUUGAUGACUGCUUGUUUGUUUCAUUCUAAAGGAAACUGUUCUCCAAGAUGAGCUGAAAGGAGUGUCGGGCAUGUCAAACCUCACUUUCCUAAGUCGGCUUCUCUCCUUACACACGAGCCCCUGACCGCCUGCCUUGCCUCACUGUUGGCCAGUAGGUCCCUAAACCUUGGGCUGUAAUACUUUGACUUGAGAGUAGCUUCUGGGUCCUUGCCUCUUGUCCACAAGUCUGCUGGCUACUGAAAUGCAGUAGGCUGUGUACAGAGAGAGAAAAGGAAAGAAAUAACCAGGAAGAGAUUUUUAGGCUUUGUUGUUUAACCUGGGCUCUUAACAGAUACUUUUGAGCCAUCCAUAUAGCUGGGCGUUUUUAAAAUCAAAGCCCACCAAAACUAGGGGAUUACCGUGCCUGUCCUGGAGACGCUCGCCGAGGAACAGCUCUGUGGUCAGAGAGCUGUACCAUGGGUUAUGGCACAGAAGCUGAAGGGCUAGAGAAAUAAAGAAAUAAAGACUUUGUUGGGUUGAGUUAGAGACGACUUCCGGGGGUGGGGCUGAGAGGAGGCUUUGUUCUGCUUCAACCUUCGAGCACUGGGGCAGAUGGGUGUAAGGGGGGAGCAUGCACGCACGGGGGACUGGCAGAGGGAACACUUCGGUACUGUGGUCCUGGUGCCCCGCCUCUUUGCCUCUUGGCACCCCUUGUACUCCUUUUUCUAUCAGUGAGUGACAAGCUAUUGCCCAUCACACAAACUGUUUAUGAAGUAGUAAUUAGCUUUCCUGUGUUUUAUUAAUCACAUCUAUGACUGCCAAUCUGAGCUUCUGAUUAGCGUGAGAUAACGGGUACACCCAUACUGAGUUUCUGUAAUUCUAGCCCAGAGCAAAGAAACUGGAUGUCUCUGUCAGCCUGUGCAGCCUUAUCGGGGUAAAUUCCUGUCUGGCCUACUGAAAUGCUGAAAGCGCUUCAAGAUCUUCAUCCACAGCCCUCGUGGACCCUCGACGGGCCUUAGUGUGGGAAGGAGUUCCAUCUGGGAGACUGGGAGGCUGGUACAGCUGGGAUAAAGGUCUGUGGGAGGUUAGGAGAAUAGGGGCUAGCUACAUCUUUGCAUUUGUUGUAAUUCGGUGGUUUUGGGGGCCGAGCAUAAGAAUUUCUAUUCUUAGCAUGUCUAAAGCAACGCUGACAUGGGUUUCAUACCCACAAAUUCUCGAGUAUUUGUAUCGCUGUAAUUCUUGUAUCAGCUAGAAUAUUUAUUUUCACUUUUCCUCCUGUGUGAUUCUUAGCUUGGUGUAAAAAUUGCCAAAGCGAUUGCCUGCCACAACUUUGUAAAAGCCAAAAAGGAUGCUGAAAAUUCACAGGUUGCUCGAAAAAAGAAGAAACUUGCCUGGGGGUUUGAAGCAAAGAAGAGGUGGGAAACCAAAAGCAACAUGGGAUAUAUGUGACUUGCCAGAGUUCUUCAAGACCUUUGGGACUUCACUUGAGUCUUCAGUUGCUUAAUUUACUGAAAAGAUUUUCCUGUUCAUGUUAACUAUGUUGGGAAAUUGAUGGAAAUAGAAAAAAAUAAGCAUAAAAUUUGGAAGUUGAUUAUCAAAUCUUUUUUCAGUCUUUUUCUAAAGAGCUCAUCCUGCUGAAGUGAAUGAAAUGGAGCAUUCUGUUAUUUGUACAAGAAAUCUAAGCAUACAUACAGGAAAAAAAAAAGAUAGGAUUUUAUUUAUUUAUUUAUAUAGACCUCCAGUAUAAAAUCAAUUUUACUUUUCAUCCACUUGGUGUAGCAUAGCCAAUGAGCUCCUUGUACUUUCUUAUCUGUACUCGGUGUAACUGCACUUAUUCUGGAGCUGUGUUUUUAAGAUUGGCAUUUGUUUAUAAUGGAUUAGUCAUAAGCGCAAGAAAGAUACUGUCUUCACAAAUGACUUUAUCUUAAUGUUAUAAAAGUAAUUAUUGGUUCUUUAUUGGAGACAGUAGAGUUGAUAUUUCACAGUCACAUAAUAAAAGCAAUUGAUUAA